rnacentral:rRNA from 1 species
UACGUAGGUGGCAAGCGUUGUCCGGAUUCACUGGGUUUAAAGGGUGCGUAGGCGGGCAAGUAAGUCAGUGGUGAAAUCUCCGGGCUUAACUCGGAAACUGCCGUUGAUACUAUUUAUCUUGAAUAUCAUGGAGGUAAGCGGAAUAUGUCAUGUAGCGGUGAAAUGCUUAGAUAUGACAUAGAACACCGAUAGCGAAGGCAGCUUACUACAUGUUAAUUGACGCUGAGACGCGAAAGCGUGGGGAGCAAACAGG